CGCCAACAAAUCAAGAGAGAUUCAAAAGAUCAGAUACUGGUUAAGAAAAUUAGGGUUUGAAAAGAGAAGGGCAAAAAAUAAGGGUUACGAAGAGAUUGCAGAUUAAACAGUGGGGAAAGAUGGAGAAAUUAAAUAGAUAGAAAAAGAAAUUAGGGCUAGAAUGGUUUGAAGGUAUGCGAAAGGGAGCGGAUUGCGAUUGUAGGAGGAGGAGGUAGGGCACUAAAUAAUAGAAACACAGAAAGAAGGAGAGGUAUUUAUAAGGUUGGCAUUU
rnacentral:misc_RNA from 1 species